UGUUCCCAACAUUGUUCGACAAAAAAGAAGUGAUGAACUAUUUGAAUUGAUGAAAUUCAGAAAUUCUAGGGCUUUAUAGCCUUGUGGUUGAUUCACCUUCCGAUCAUUCAGAAUCCUCGAGAUUUCUCUCAUUUGCAGAAAUAAAAUUUCUAUAGGGUGGUUCUGAUUUUGGGACAAUGUCUCGGGUUUAUGUUGGGAAUUUGGACCCUCGUGUCUCUGAGAGGGAUCUCGAAGACGAAUUUCGCUUGUAUGGUGUUCUGCGAAGUGUCUGGGUUGCACGUAGACCACCAGGAUAUGCAUUUCUCGAGUUUGAUGAUAAGAGGGAUGCACUGGAUGCAAUCCAUGCUUUGGAUGGAAAAAAUGGCUGGCGUGUAGAGCUUUCUCAUAAUUCUAAGGGUGGUGGAGGAGGCCGUGGUGGUGGGCGUGGGCGUGGAGGUGAGGACCUGAAAUGCUAUGAAUGUGGUGAACCUGGACACUUUGCUCGUGAGUGUCGCUCCCGCGGUGGUUCAAGAGGCCUGGGAAGUGGAAGGAGACGAAGUCCUAGUCCUUACCGGCGUCGUAGAAGUCCAAGUUAUGGUUAUGGCCGUAGGAGUUAUAGUCCUCGUGGGAGGAGAUCUCCAAGACCUCGUAGCAUAACACCUCCUCUUCGUGGUCGCAGCAACAGCAGGUCCCCUCCAUACCGUCAUGCUCGUCGUGUUUCACCUUAUGCUAAUGGAGAUUAAGAUCACAAUGUGAAUGGAGCAAAUGCUAAAUAAUUGUUAGGAGCCUGCUCUGCUUUAUUCUAGUUCCUCUAGGAUUGGAUGAGCAUCCAACAUACAUGUUAAUUAUGUCGAUGUCAUGACAAAGGGUAUUGUUGGGAACUUGGAAUAUGACGUCACUUGUGUAGUGUAAUAGCUGCCAAAAGGGUGCAUUGGACACUGUUUUGCAUUGGAUGUCUUGUCUCUUCAGCUUACUGAAUCCUGAAGCCAAAACAAAGCUUCGUUUCGCCACUUAGUACUUCUUGUCUGCUUCUCUGCUGCAUGCCUCUACAGUCAUCUUCUUGCUUCUGCAUAUAAGCUGACUAAAACUGCAAUGUUGGCUAGUUGCUCUGGGUAUGACCUUUUUGUUGACAAUGCUACAGUUGCAUCCUUCUUUUGAAUUGGAGAAGUCCAAAGGUGGAUGGAUAAAAACCUAGUUAUUCACUUGCUGCACCAUCUUUUUAAAAUUGGGACUUGUUUAGUGAGUAGCUGUGUAUUGUGUCUGCUUCUCGUCAUUCUGUGUGGUUGAAUUGAUGCUACUUUGGAUGUCUGCAUCCCAAUUAGAGUGUUUCUUGUUUCAUCCGUGGUCUUAAUGGUACGCGCUUGGCACUGCAAUUAUCAGCAUCUUGGUUGUGUGAGACACUAAGCUUACAUCAUCUACAAGAGAGUAAGAUAAGAUUGACCCUAUUUAACGAAACGCACAGGCCAAUUGUCUUUCAUUCUUCACUUUCAGCCAUUCGAUUCCUUAGAUUUUGCACGCUUCUAACUAGAACUUUUGUCUAUUCACAAGCUACUGGGAUCUGCUACUAAUUGUCCCCCAUUUAUAAAACUUCCACACUAAGUCGAGUGUAUUAACUCCAGUUUAUUGACCUUAUUGAGGAAUUAAGUUAUUGCAUUGGAUGGUUGAUUUUGAGGAAUUCAGUUUAGAGUUGGGUGCAUUGCCAUAUUGCCAUUUUUCUUUGCUUAUUGUAUAAUCCUUUGACAUGCAACGGCCAUGCGUGCCGUGAUUUGCCCUGGUAUUAAUUAUCCCUUUGGAAUUCUAUUUUUAUUUUUAUUUGAAA